GAUGAGCGCUAGCGGCAGGCUUAAUACAUGCAAGUCGAGGGGUAACACGGGUAGCAAUACCUGGUGACGACCGGCAAACGGGUGCGGAACACGUACAGAACCUUCCUUUAAGCGGGGAUAGCCCAUAGAAAUGUGGAUUAAUACCCCAUAGUAAUAUUGACUGGCAUCAGUUGGUAUUUAAAGAUUUAUCACUUAAAGAUGGCUGUGCGGCUGAUUAGGUAGUUGGUGCGGGAACGGCCCACCAAGCCAGCGAUCAGUAACUGGUGUGAGAGCACGACCAGUCACACGGGCACUGAGACACGGGCCCGACUCCUACGGGAGGCAGCAGUAAGGAAUAUUGGGUCAAUGGACGCAAGUCUGAACCAGCCAUGCCGCGUGAAGGAUGAAGGCCCUCUGGGUUGUAAACUUCUUUUAUCUGGGAAGAAAUGCCUGUUUUCUAACGGGUUUGACGGUACCAGAGGAAUAAGCACCGGCUAACUCCGUGCCAGCAGCCGCCGU
rnacentral:rRNA from 1 species